rnacentral:rRNA from 1 species
GAUGAACGCUAGCGGGAGGCCUAACACACGCAAGCCGAGCGGUAUUGUUUCUUCGGAAAUGAGAGAGCGGCGUACGGGUGCGGAACACGUGUGCAACCUGCCUUUAUCUGGGGGAUAGCCUUUCGAAAGGAAGAUUAAUACUCCAUAAUAUAUUGAACGGCAUCGUUUAAUAUUGAAAGCUCCGGCGGAUAGAGAUGGGCACGCGCAAGAUUAGCUAGUUGGUGAGGUAACGGCUCACCAAGGCAAUGAUCUUUAGGGGGCCUGAGAGGGUGAUCCCCCACACUGGUACUGGGACACGGACCAGACUCCUACGGGAGGCAGCAGUGAGGAAUAUUGGUCAAUGGGUGCAAGCCUGAACCAGCCAUCCCGCGUGAAGGACGACUGCCCUAUGGGUUGUAAACUUCUUUUGUAUAGGGAUAAACCUUUCCACGUGUGGAAAGCUGAAGGUACUAUACGAAUAAGCACCGGCUAACUCCGUGCCAGCCGCCGCAGUAAGAC